GUCUUGCUAUGUUGCCCAGGCUGGUCUGGAACUCUGAGCUCAAACAGUCCUCCUACCUCAGCCUCUCAAAGUGCUGGGAUUACAGGAUUUAGAAAGAAUGAAAAACUAUGCUGCUGAUGCUGUCAGCUUCCCAGAAUCCUCUCCCAAGUUAAUUCAAUUAGACAUGCUCACUGUCUGUCACCCAGGCUGGAGUGCAGUGGUGCAAGAUCAUAGCUCAUUGCAGCCUCGAACUCCUGGACUCAGGCAAUCCUCCUGCCUCAGCUUCCUGUGUGCAAUGAGUCUUCAAUCACCUGCCCAGAAGAGACAUGUAUCACUUCCGCUCACAUUGCAUUGGCUAAAUGUGUCCUCAAACAAAAGAUGGCCAUGUCAGAAUACCACAAAGGCUUGUGGACUGUGCCGCUGCUGAUGUUGGAAGAAGACGUUUCUUUGGCAAGCAAGGAGGAUUUGAGCAGAGGAACGACUUAGGCUGUACAGGAAGCAUGCCUGGGAAGCCCUCAGGAAACUUACAAUCAUGGCAAAAGCAGGAAGAAGAAAGCGAAAUGAAAGGUGCCACACACUUUUAAACAACCAGAUCUCAGGAGGACUCGCUAUUAUGAGAACAGCAAGGGAGAAAUCCGCCCCCAUGAUCCCAUCACCUCCUACCAGGCCUCUCCUCCAACAAUGGGGAUUACAAUUCAUUAUGGAGGAGGACACAAAUCCAAACCAUAUUACCAGGCUAGGCUGGAUUUUCCUUUCUUAUUCUGGCAUAGCGCCAUGUUCUUUUUUUUCAAAUUAAAAAAAUGACAUGAUUUAUAAGUUCGCAAUUAUUUGUGUGUUUGCU